AGAUCUGGAAAGGAGGAGGAGAAAAAGGAGGAUGGGCUUCCAUGGCUGCAUAGGGCAUCCUUCGGCAGGAUGUGUUCUGAGCUCCAAAGCGGUGGAGGGUGGAGACUCAAACCUUCAAGAGCUCCUACAACUUUGAGAUUCUCUGAUGGAUUCAGGGCUAUGGGAGGAAGCGGUUGUGGUCCGUGUUUGUUCCCAGGAUUGCUGUUUCUUGGCUCCCAGAUGUCCCUGCUCCUGGCUUUCAUCCUGCUUUGCCUGCCCUGGCUUCAAGAGACUGGUGCCCUUCCACGCAUUCCCUUAUCCAGGCUUUUGGAAGACGCUGUGCUCCAUGCCCAUCAGCUGCAUCAGCUGGCCUUUGACACCUACCAGGAGUUUGAAGAAGAUUGUAUCCCAAAUGAACAGAAGUAUUUCUUCCUGCAGAACCCCAAGACCUCCCUCUGCUUCUCAGAGUCUAUCCUGACACCCUCAAACAAGGAGGAAAUGCUGGCGAAAUCUAACCUAGAGCUGCUCCACAUCUCCCUGCUGUUCAUCCAGUCCUGGCUCAAACCCGUGCAGCUCCUCAGGGGUGUCUUUGCCAACAGUGAACUGCAUAGGGUCUCGAACACCAACAUCUAUGAGUCCCUGAAGGACCUAGAAGAAGGCAUUCAAACUGUGAUGGGAGGCUGGAAGAGGUCAGCCACCAGACUGGGGAGAUCAUCAAGCAAAAUUGCAGCAUGUUUGACACAAACUUGCACAACAAUGACACACUGCUCAAGAGCUACUGGCUGCUCUAUUACUUCAGGAAGGACAUGCACAAGGUCAAGACAUUCCUGCGCAUUGUGCAGUGCCUCUCUGUGGAGGGCCUCUGUGGCCUCUAGCUGCUGGAUGGCAUCCCUGUGACCCCUUCCCAGUGCCUCUCUUGGCCCUGGAAGGUGGCACUCCAGUGCCCACCAGCCCUGUCCUAAUAAAAUUAAGUUGCAUC